rnacentral:rRNA from 1 species
AACCUUACCUAGACUUGACAUCUCCUGAAUUACUCUGUAAUAGAGGAAGCCCUUCGGGGCAGGAAGACAGGUGGUGCAUGGUUGUCGUCAGCUCGUGUCGUGAGAUGUUGGGUUAAGUCCCGCAACGAGCGCAACCCUUAUUGUUAGUUGCUACCAUUAAGUUGAGCACUCUAGCGAGACUGCCCGGGUUAACCGGGAGGAAGGUGGGGAUGACGUCAAAUCAUCAUGCCCCUUAUGUCUAGGGCUACACACGUGCUACAAUGGCUGGUACAGAGAGAUGCUAAACCGUGAGGUGGAGCCAAACUUUAAAACCAGUCUCAGUUCGGAUUGUAGGCUGAAACUCGCCUACAUGAAGCUGGAGUUGCUAGUAAUCGCGAAUCAGAAUGUCGCGGUGAAUACGUUCCCGGGCCUUGUACACACCGCCCGUCACACCAUGAGAGUUGGCAAUACCCAAAGUUCGUGAGCUAACGCGUAAGCGAGGCAGCGACCUAAGGUAGGGUCAGCGAUUGGGGUGAAGUCGUAACAAGGUAGCCGUAGGAGAACCUGCGGCUGGAUCACCUCCUUU